rnacentral:rRNA from 1 species
GGAGUAACACGUAAACAACCUGCCUUCAAGAUGGGACAACAGACGGAAACGACUGCUAAUACCGAAUACGAUCCGAAAGUCGCAUGACAUUUGGAUGAAAGGGUGGCCUAUCGAAGAAGCUAUCGCUUGAAGAGGGGUUUGCGUCCGAUUAGGUAGUUGGUGAGGUAACGGCCCACCAAGCCGACGAUCGGUAGCCGGUCUGAGAGGAUGAACGGCCACACUGGAACUGAGACACGGUCCAGACUCCUACGGGAGGCAGCAGAC